GAGUUUGGGCAUUUUCUAUGGUGCUUGGGAUGGGGAGAAUGCAGAGCCGACUGGAGCCUGAACCUGAGUGACAACCCUGACUUCUCCUGGCACAUCUCAAGAGCAAGACUUUGUCACCAGGCUUACAUGGCCAAGCGCUCAAGAAGGUCACGGUGAACACAGCAAGAGGAAGGUUUCUCAUAUUCAGCUCCAAGGCUUACAUCUGUACACUUGACAAGAUUUGGCAGCUCUAUGGGAAGGGGACCAAGGCUCUCCAUCACUUCAGGAGCCACCUGACAAGCAAGGGACAGCACUGCAGUCAAGGAAAAUCCAAGACCAGACUCUCACAUCCACUAUUCCAGCACUUCAAAAAGGCAUCCAGUCCCAAGUGUUGGCUCAUCUCGAGCAAGGUCACCAUGCCCUGGAGGAUGACCCAAGGUGGCUACCAGCACUCCAGGACACACAGACACUGAGAUGGUGCCACAGGGCUGCAGGAUGCUGAAACCUCUUCAUUCAGAAAU